rnacentral:rRNA from 1 species
GUCCAGACUCCUACGGGAGGCAGCAGUGGGGGAUAUUGCACAAUGGGGGGAACCCUGAUGCAGCGACGCCGCGUGGGUGAAGGAGCGUUUCGGCGCGUAAAGCCCUAUCGGCAGGGAAGAAGGAGGACGGUACCUGACUAAGAAGCCCCGGCUAACUACGUGCCAGCAGCCGCGGUAAUACGUAGGGGGCAAGCGUUAUCCGGAUUUACUGGGUGUAAAGGGGGCGCAGACGGCAGCGCAAGCCAGGAGUGAAAGCCCGGGGCCCAACCCCGGGACUGCUCUUGGAACUGCGCGGCUGGAGUGCAGGAGGGGCAGGCGGAAUUCCUGGUGUAGCGGUGAAAUGCGUAGAUAUCAGGAGGAACACCGGCGGCGAAGGCGGCAUACCGGUGCACAACUGACGCUCAGGCACGAAAGCGUGGGUAUCGAACAGGAUUAGAUACCCGCGUA